rnacentral:piRNA from 1 species
UGAGGCCUGAAGUGUGCAGAACCCAUUUUA